UACGGAGGAUCCAAGCGUUAUCCGGAUUCACUGGGUUUAAAGGGUGCGUAGGCGGGUAAGUAAGUCCGUGGUGAAAUCUCUGAGCUUAACUCAGAAACUGCCGUGGAUACUAUUUGCCUUGAAUAUUGUGGAGGUGAGCGGAAUAUGUCAUGUAGCGGUGAAAUGCUUAGAUAUGACAUAGAACACCAAUUGCGAAGGCAGCUCACUACACAAUCAUUGACGCUGAGGCACGAAAGCGUGGGGAUCAAACAGG
rnacentral:rRNA from 1 species